UACGGACAAACGCCGCACUUCCUCAAAUUCAAACGCACUGUUUACAAGUGUUUUAGCGCAUUGAGGGGGUAAGGUCGGAGGAACUUCUUCGUUGCAUGCUCGUGAGGAGCGGAGGACGAAAGUCCUGCCGGGUGUACCAGAAAUUCGAUUUCAUAGGCAUGUUCUGUGAGAUCCUGAAACGCACCCGAGAAGAUGUCUUUUAGUGCAAUGUGCGGCACCUGACGAAAGUCAGGCAACUCGAUUCCGACUAAUCUUGUCUGUA
rnacentral:RNase_P_RNA from 2 species